AACCGCUUUCCUUUAAUUUUCGUUCGUCACAAGGUUGACACAACUUUUUCACCUGUCAAACAAUAUAGACAUAUAUAUUUUACUAUAAAUAAUAAAGGAUCAGGGUUCUAAGGAAUAUAGGAUUUUGAUACCGUUUAAACAUAAACCCCACACGAGUGCUUGAGAUCGAGUGUUAGAGACAUAUAGUGGAGCUCAGUACCACAUACUGGGCUCACGCUCAUAUAUUUCUAUGAAGAAAUAAUAAACAAUAAAACGAACCUAUUACCUGCUUAUCAAGUGAUCAUUUAACCCCAACGAUAAGCGCCCGGUAACAUUUGGCGCCCAACGAGGGACAUGAGCAUAAACACUAUAAUAUACUAAAUACUGUGACAAUUUGGAUUUUACACAUUGGAUUUUAAUCAGCACUGGAUUUUUGGAACAUUACUUUUUAUUCCUACAUCGGAUUUAAUAUCUACUGCGCGCAUGCUGUCAGGAGGCAGUAUCGGGAGGACGUUUCGACUCAGGACGCAGGAGGACGUUUCGGGAUGGCAGUAACGUUUUCACCACAGGAGACGUUUGGACGUUAGGACGUGUGGACCCCAGAGGACGUUUGGAUUCCCGGAGGAGAUUUGGUGGAACAUUAUUUACAUUGUGUCACUGGAACCACGGAAUUUUAAGACAUUUUUAAAAGCUUUUAACACCAGGAGGUGCUACAGUGAAGAUUAGGACUUCCAUAUACAUUGUGUUUAACCACAGAAUAUUAUAAAUAUACAUUUGUACAGUUAUCAUUGUGACUAAGACACUUUUUGAGUGCUAGUGACCAAGAACAUUCCAUGUUGCAGUACUAAUAUCAUUACCAGUCUACCAGUGAAUACCGUUUAAACAUAAACCCCACACGAGUGCUUGAGAUCGAGUGUUAGAGACAUAUAGUGGAGCUCAGUACCACAUACUGGGCUCACGCUCAUAUAUUUCUAUGAAGAAAUAAUAAACAAUAAAACGAACCUAUUACCUGCUUAUCAAGUGAUCAUUUAACCCCAACGAUAAGCGCCCG